rnacentral:lncRNA from 1 species
UUUUUUUGGGGUAACGGAUAUCCCUAUGCUUUGAAUAGGUUUAACUUCGUGUUGAUUUGUAUGUUCUUGAUUUAAAUUUCAUACAGACCAGAGUUUAGAGUUGUUCACAUUUAGAUUUUAUUCCCUUUUAUCUUAAACUGAGCGAUACCUUGCACGAUCAUAGGAAAUGCCAUCAAAAUAAGACAUAAUGUUUAUUUUUUCUUCGAUUCAUUUUUUGUUUUUCUUUUUUUCUU